CUCUGCUAUAUGCAGUUUCAGGUGAUAAGGCAUGAGACCAAUGCUAUACGAUGGAAGCACUGAUGGAAACUCUAGCCAGGUCCAGCUUGGCAGAAGCUUUCUGUCUUCCACAGCCUAUCCUGCCUCCUCAUCCCUAUUUCAGACAGAGAAUGCAAUAUUCUCAAGCCUGCUGGGAUUGCUACUCAUGCUAUCAUUCCUUAGCACAUUUCUCUCAGAACGACCCUGCUCAUUUUAAACAGUUUAAGGCACGAUUCCAUGUCAGUUUCAGAUCAACUGAACAACAACUCCCAUCCUCUCCUUCCAUUCCCACUUCCGUGUUCCCAUCUCUUUUCCUAUGCUGGCACUUUGCUGCAUCUCAUAUUGCCAACAAGACUGGUUUUGGCUGUACAGGUGACUGAGGGAGUUGGCUUCAGGACUGAGCACCUGUCAGGGGACAGUGACACAGUAUUUAGUGAAGAAAGGAUUUGCUUCUGCCUCCUUUUCAAGCCAUCUCAGCAGCCCACAGAGGAGGGCAACAUACUUUAAGAGUACAUGCUGUGUCCUCUGCUGAAGUAGGGUGUGGAUGUGGGUUACAGGUUUGCCUGUCUUCUUCCUUUAAACACAGUUGGCUUUCAACAGACACACAUGGCUCUCAGGAACACAGAUAUCAGGUCACAUGUGUGAUAGGCACAGCUCCAAAACGAUCAUCAUGGACAUUUAUCCCUGAAGCUGAAUUUUCAGAGGUGAAGGAAUAGUUUGAAGCUGAAGUGUGCAGCCUGGUUAUGAGGAUUACGGUCUAAACCAUGCCUUACACGUGUCCUUUGCUUUGGAAAAUAAAAACAUGCUUUUAAAAGUAUUUGGAUGUGUAGAAAUGAGGCAAGGGAGUAUGGCAGAGGCCAGUCAGUGAGGGCAUCCUCUUGGCUACUGUAUUUAUUAACCUCAGCCUGGUGCAAGACACAGGAGCCAUUGGAACAGGACAUGCACAAACCAGCUGGCAGCAUUGGCUGUGUUGGGCUAGUGAGCUGAUUUCUCUCUUAUUUAGGUGAUGUUCUUAUUUUUUGCUUGUCCGUGUUUAUAUUGGAGUAGUGCUCAGAGGCCCCAGAAGUGAAGAAAAUAACUGCACUGCAGACAUUUAUGAAGAAGUUGUUAUGACUGCUAAUGCUUCUUCCAGCUCCACUGCUACAAACUCUGCUAUAGUGCAGCAAAGAACUGAACAUUUUCUGAAGGAAGUGUGUGAGGAAACCUGAUUUUUAGCCUCACAAGGGAGUGGCUGGGAAGAAUGGAAAGAGGAGAGGAGAGGAGGCUGGGAUUUCUGAGACUGCAUCAAUACUUUAAAGAGUUGUUCAAUACCGCAUCUCACAUCUAUCUUUGCUCAUCCUUGGCAAUCCUAAGAAAGCAGUUGCUACCACUGCUGUUUCUGAAGUGGCUGAAGCUGCAGGCUAAUGUGCUUGCUGUAUCCAUCCCCUCAUAUGAAGGAGUAUCUGGACAGGCUUGUUCAGAACUACUCAAUAUUUCCCAGGAUGAAGAAAUUUUUUUAAUAUACUGAGGCAUGACUUUGGAUAGGAUACCUGGGAAAUCAGACACAUCCAGAGGAAGACCCUGCAACAGGUUUUCUGGUACACAGUUUGGUCAUCCCAAAUCCACUGAAGUCCUCAUCUAGGUAUCUAUGUCUACCUCUGUCCUUGCUUUGAGACAGGCCCGACUGGUGAUCUAUAAGGCCUCUUGAUCUCUUUGUAGGGACUGAUCUAACAUACCUUAGGAGGUACUGCCUUUUGCACCAAGGAGAUAAUCCAGAUUCAAACUACUGACUUUCCCAAAUUGGCACGUUGCUUUCCGUAGCCAGGAGAUAUGGACUUCCAAACAAGUGUCUUAAUUUUUAGCAUGUAGAAACUUUUCAUGAAAACCUGGAAACUGCUCUGACUCUGAGAUGGCACCCUGAAACCAGAAUUUUUCAUGUUAUUGUCAAACUCAUAAAUCUCCGAAAUUUCCAUACUGAUUCUACAGUAUUACACUAAGCUUUCAUUUCAAAUAAUUCUGGAAGACUCAAUAUAACUUUCUCUGUUGUUUUAAAGAAAAUAUACUGCAUGUUUUGCCACUACCAUAAAGGGAUCACACAAUCUGUUAGGUCUUCAUUUACUGCCAUUUUCUUCUUUGGCUAAAGUGUUUUAAGAUGAUGAAACUGGGACAGUCAAGGUCUGUAAUGCAUUUACUGUCUAGUUUUAAAGGCUCAAGAAGAAUUUAAAUGAUGAGUAGAUACUGUGCUGGCUUUGUCCACUUGUGACAAUUUUAUCCACGUGAGUUCUCAUUCAAGCUGCCUAGACCACCUCUAUUGUCACGGAUUUUUGAAGACAAUCUUUACACUGCAACCCUCAGCCUUCCACAAAGCUGCAGAACAGCAGUGAUAGCAAACAUCUCUGCCAGGGAGAUAUGUGCAUCAUUUAUCUGGGAACUCAAGGUUUUGACAGAUUUCGAAGAACAAAAUUACUGUAAACCCUUGACUGUUUCUUUUUUAUGCUUUCACAUCCACAUACUGGGAAGUACCAAAAUGUGUGUGUUUAAAAAGUUCACGUGUGUGAUAGAGAAUAAGACAGAGAAUAAGGAUGCUGUAUAUUAU